rnacentral:rRNA from 1 species
UACGGAGGGUGCAAGCGUUGUCCGGAAUCACUGGGCGUAAAGGGCGCGUAGGCGGCUCAUGAAGGCUGUGGUGAAAGUCCGGGGCUCAACCUCGGAUCGGCCGUGGCGACUCGUGGGCUGGAGCACUGUAGAGGCGGGUGGAAUUCCGGGUGUAGCGGUGAAAUGCGUUGAGAUCGGGCAGAACACCAGUGGCGAAGGCGGCCGGCUGGGCCGACCCUGACGCUGAGGCGCGAAAGCCAGGGGAGCGAACGGA